rnacentral:rRNA from 1 species
GAUGAACGCUGGCGGCGUGCCUAAUACAUGCAAGUCGAGCGGAGAAUUUAGCAAUAGAUUCUUAGCGGCGAACGGGUGAGUAACGCGUUGGUGACCUGCCUCGAAGUUUGGGAUAACAGUUCGAAAGGACUGCUAAUACCGGAUGUGAUCACGAAGAUUAGAGGCUUUGUGAUUAAAGGAGAAAUUCGCUUCGAGAGGGGCCUGCGUCCCAUCAGCUAGUUGGUAAGGUAAAGGCUUACCAAGGCGAUGACGGGUAGGGGACCUGAGAGGGUGGCCCCCCACAAUGGAACUGAAACACGGUCCAUACACCUACGGGUGGCAGCAGUAGGGAAUAUUGCAUAAUGGGCGAAAGCCUGAUGCAGCAACGCCGCGUGUGCGAUGAAGGCCUUCGGGUCGUAAAGCACUUUGGUAGGGGAUGAGGAAGGACAGUACCUUCGAAUAAGCUUCGGCUAACUAACGUGCCAGCAGCCGC